rnacentral:ncRNA from 1 species
CUACCGGCGUCGCAAGGCGCCGGGAUGGGGCGGCAGAAGUCAGCAGAGGCCGUAGUGUGCGCUGGGCAGCGCAUGAGUC